ACGAAGCCAUGCAUGCCCGCKCACCCGGGACGCGGCGGACGGCUCAGGACAACGGUUGCACCCCCCGCGGCGGUCCCUGCUAGCCGGACACCGCUGGCAACCCGGCGCCAAGACGUGCGCGCAAGGGCGGGCGCCCGCGGGCGAGCAGCGUGACGCAGCGACGGCCCGCCCGGGCUUCCGGGGCAUCACCCGGUCGGCGCGGUCGCGGCGCGCCGAGGGCCCGACGCCU
rnacentral:rRNA from 1 species